AAGCUCAAAUUUUAAAUCUGACUAGGUUUUACCUAUCAGAGUUGUAUUUUGAAGAAGCGUUUUCCGCGUCUCGGUUGGCCCAAGUCCUUUGGGAUAAGGCAUCAUGGAGGGUGAGAAUCCCGUUCGGUUGACCUUAUGACGUUUUACGAUACGCUUUCAAAGAGUCGAGUUGUUUGGGAUUGCAGCUCAAAAUGGGAGGUAAAUUUCUCCUAAGGCUAAAUAUUGGCGAGAGACCGAUAGCGAACAAGUACCGUGAGGGAAAGAUGAAAAGAACUUUGAAAAGAGAGUAAAAUAGUACGUGAAAUUGUUGAAAGGGAAACGAUUGAAGUCAGUCGUACCGACGAGAAAUCAACUUUUCGAGUGCUUACUUGUGGGCGUGCUUGAGCUGUCAAAGGCCUCGCUGUUUGCAUGUUUGUGCUUUUUUGGUGUACUUUUUCGUAUGGUAGGCCAACGUCAGUUUCGAUCACCAUAAAAUGAUCGGAGGAAUGUAGCUUUGAUCUCGUAUUGAAGUGUUAUAGCCUUUGGUAGAUGUGGUGAUCGAAACUGAGGAUUGCAACGAAUACCCUUUGGGCUAUCCGUCUGACCUCUGGAAGUUGCUUAGGUGCCGAAAGCUUGCUUAUGGUAUUUAAGACGACGGUCAAAAGGUUAGAACGUGAUUACAUUCGUAAGGACGUGCGUA
rnacentral:rRNA from 1 species